UAAAGUGCUGACAGUGCAGGUAGUGAGACUGAAUACCUACUGUACUGGGUGCACUUGGAGC
rnacentral:pre_miRNA from 1 species